GACGGACGCUGGCGGCGUGCUUAACACAUGCAAGUCGAACGGAAAGGCCCUGCUUUUGUGGGGUGCUCGAGUGGCGAACGGGUGAGUAACACGUGAGUAACCUGCCCUUGACUUUGAGAUAACUUCAGGAAACUGGGGCUAAUACCGGAUAGGAGCUCCUGCUGCAUGGUGGGGGUUGGAAAGUUUCGGCGGUUGGGGAUGGACUCGCGGCUUAUCAGCUUGUUGGUGGGGUAGUGGCUUACCAAGGCUUUGACGGGUAGCCGGCCUGAGAGGGUGACCGGCCACAUUGGGACUGAGAUACGGCCCAGACUCCUACGGGAGGCAGCAGUGGGGAAUAUUGCACAAUGGGCGGAAGCCUGAUGCAGCAACGCCGCGUGCGGGAUGACGGCCUUCGGGUUGUAAACCGCUUUCGCCUGUGACGAAGCGUGAGUGACGGUAAUGGGUAAAGAAGCACCGGCUAACUACGUG
rnacentral:rRNA from 1 species